rnacentral:lncRNA from 1 species
UGUGUAUUAAAAACCUGUGUAUGCUGCCUUGAGUAUUCAUUUAUCUAAAUGCAGAUUAAGCAGUUAUAAGAAUAAUAUUGGCUCCAAUAGUGUUUUAGCUAAAAACUUGCCUCCCACCGACCCCUCCUUUCACCUUCAAUAUUACUAUGACAGGGGAAUCAAUCUCAGCACGGUUUAUAGAUUUCAUUUAUGAAAUUUUAUCACUGG